AGAGUUUGAUCCUGGCUCAGGACGAACGCUGGCGGCGUGCCUAACACAUGCAAGUCAAGGGGAAAGGGGUAGCAAUAUCCCGAGUACACUGGCGCACGGGUGAGUAACGCGUAGGCAACCUGCCUUCAGGACGGGGAUAAUUCAGCGAAAGCUGGACUAAUACCCGAUGAUAUUCCGUUGCAGCAUUGUAGCGGAAUCAAAAGCCCGCAAGGGUGCCCGGAGAUGGGCCUGCGUCCCAUUAGGUAGUUGGUGAGGUAACGGCUCACCAAGCCAACGAUGGGUAGCUGGUCUGAGAGGAUGAUCAGCCACACUGGAACUGAGACACGGUCCAGACUCCUACGGGAGGCAGCAGUGAGGAAUAUUGCGCAAUGGCCGAAAGGCUGACGCAGCGACGCCGCGUGAGGGAUGAAGUCCGUUAGGAUGUAAACCUCUUUUGCAGGGGAUGAAUGUCCCGUUUGACGGGAUUGACAGUACCCUGCGAAUAAGGAUCGGCUAACUACGUGCCAGCAGCCGCGGUAAUACGUAGGAUCCGAGCGUUGUCCGGAAUUACUGGGUGUAAAGGGCGUGUAGGUGGGUUCCUAAGUCGAUGGUGAAAUCCUGCAGCUUAACUGCAGAACUGUCUUCGAUACUGGGGAUCUUGAGUGCGGCAGAGGGAGAUGGAAUUCAUGGUGUAGCGGUGAAAUGUGUAGAUAUCAUGAAGAACACUCGGUAGCGAAGGCGGUCUCCUGGUUCUGCAACUGACACUGAGGCGCGAAAGCGUGGGGAGCAAACAGGAUUAGAUACUCUGGGUAGUCCACGCCUUUAAACGAUGGGUACUAGGUGCUGGGUCGCAAGGUUCAGUGCUCAAAGCUAACGCAUUAAGUACUCUCACCUGGGGAGUACGAUCGCAAGGUUGAAACUCAAAGGAGUUG
rnacentral:rRNA from 1 species